CCCCAAUGCUGCUCAGGCAUACGACAUAGUGAAGUCGACAAGCAACCCUGAUUUCCUGAAGAAGGAGAGGUCGACACUCACCAGGCAAAUCAGAGGGGUCAGGUCAAAGAGUCUGAAAGAGGGUCUCUCUG